rnacentral:rRNA from 1 species
UACGGAGGGGGCUAGCGUUGUUCGGAAUUACUGGGCGUAAAGGGCGCGUAGGCGGCGCGAUAAGUUGGGCGUGAAAGGCCCGGGCUCAACCCGGGGACUGCGCUUGAUACUGUCGCGCUGUGAGUCCGGGAGAGGAUGGCGGAAUUCCCAGUGUAGAGGUGAAAUUCGUAGAUAUUGGGAAGAACACCGGUGGCGAAGGCGGCCAUCUGGACCGGCACUGGACGCUGAGGCGCGAAAGCGUGGGGAGCGAACAGG